CUCCCAAAGUGCUAGGAUUACAGGCAUGAGCCACUGCACCUAGCCUGCCUUCUAAGCUUUAUAACAUACAUACAUAGUUUAUAUAGCUACUGCAUGUCCCAAAUGCAUGUCCUAGAUUUGGUGAUCUGAAAGCAAGGUCCCUUCUCUUCUAGCUCCAAAUAGCAACAACCUAAGAGGACAAUUAAUCCAUCUUGGGACAUAUGCCCACCACAGAUUGUCCAUGACUUUGAACAAAUGUCUGGGUUCAAGGGUAUGGGCUACUAUGUUUGGCGAAAUCUAGGUCACUCUGUUUGGAAAACUCUGCCCCUACCGCAAAAUCUCUCUCUCUUUCCCUCCCCCACAAAGAGGCUCCCUUAUCUCUCACUUUACAUACCGGCCCUAGCCCUCCCGCCGCCCAGCUUCCCACCCAGCAGUUCAAACUGACCAACAGUUGCCCACCACCUCGGCUUUUGGCUUCCCCACCCCCCAGCCCUUCAGCCCCCUAUAAAACAACCCUGCCCCUCUGAGCAGCGCGGCCAUUUUUCCUUUUCGUCCCAGCUGGCCCGCCCGGAGGCUCUUUCCUCUCAAUAAAGCCUGAACUUAAGGAAUUUCCUCUAGCCUGCGGUCCAGUUUCUUUCCCAAUGAGCCCAGUCUUCCCGCAGAGGGUAGGUCGGACAAAUGGUGCCGGAAACCCGGGACGGGAGCUGAGGCCGUUGGCCCGGCCACGGCCCCCCUCCCCGACCUACCCAACACUGGCCCUGCCACCUCCACGUUCCGAUUAAGGCUGGAUUGAAGCUUACCCCACAGCCUCUGAGUCUGCCGGGACAGUAGCCACUCAUCUCAUUCAAGACAUCAUCCCACGCUUUGGACUCCCAGCUACCAUACAGUCAGACAACGGCCUAGCCUUUAUCUCCAAAGUCACUAAUGCCGUUUCUACCUCUCUAGGAAUUCAGUAGAAGCUACAUGCCGCCUACCAUCCCCAGUCCUCUGGUAAGGUAGAACGGGCCAAUGGCCUAAUAAAGGAGCAUCUGACCAAGCUCAUGCUUGAGCUCCGCCAAUCCUGGGUAACCUUACUUCCUAUCGCCCUCACCAGAGUAAGAGCAAGCCCCCGGGGCCCAUCACAGCUUAGCCCAUCUGAGCUGCUGUAUGGUUGCCCCUUCCUGCUUUCAACUCCCCCACCGCCAGAGACUACUCCUCUAGACAGCUACCUCCCCUACUUUACUCAGGAUUAGGAGGAGGGGCACUAGUCCACUCUCACCUGGCCAUAGCCCGACUGACCUCACAACUCCAAGCGGCUAUUGAUGACUCUACUGAGUCUUUAGCAUCACUCCAACGACAGAUCACCUCAGUUGCCCAAGUUGCCUUGCAGAACCGAAGAGCCCUGGACCUGCUCACUGCUGAAUGAGGAGGGACCUGUAUCUUCCUACAGGAAGAGUGCUGUUACUACAUCAAUGAAUCCGGCCUAGUAGAAACCCGAAUCGAGAGCCUCCAGAAACUCAAAACUAACCUGCAGAGUCAGAAGUUCUCGGCUGAAGCCACGGCGUGGUGGUCUUCCUCUAUGUAUACCCUCUUGUCCCCAUUGCUUGGGCCCCUAGUAGCUGUUUGCCUAAUCUUACUUAUUGCUCCUUGCUUUCUACAGUUCCUAUAGCGGCGCUUUCAAGAACUGACUCGAGUCACCAUCCACCAGAUGCUGCUCCAACCCCACCCUGAACGAGUGCAAGAAACAGACCUCUCCCCGAACAUCCAGGCUCGUUAAGAAAAGAGACCUCUUCAGAACCCCCAUCGACCCUUGUCAGCAGGAAGUAGCUAGAGAGACAACCGACGCCCCUGACCCCCUCUUUUUCUUUUCUUUAAGGAGUCGGGAAUGUUUGGAAAACUCUGCCCCUACCGCAAAAUCUCUCUCUCUUUCCCUCCCCCACAAAGAGGCUCCCUUAUCUCUCACUUUACAUACCGGCCCUAGCCCUCCCACCGCCCAGCUUCCCACCCAGCAGUUCAAACUGACCAACAGUUGCCCACCACCUCGGCUUUUGGCUUCCCCACCCCCCAGCCCUUCAGCCCCCUAUAAAACAACCCUGCCCCUCUGAGCAGCGCGGCCAUUUUUCCUUUUCGUCCCAGCUGGCCCGCCCGGAGGCUCUUUCCUCUCAAUAAAGCCUGAACUUAAGGAAUUUCCUCUA